GCAGUGGAGGAAAAGGUAUUUUGCUGGAGAUUCCUGUCUAUCUGAGGCCUUCUUAGGUUUCCUUCAGCUGAUUGAAAAGAUUCUGUAAGUGAACCUUUCUGGUUCUUCCCUGUUGCAGCAAGCAUCAGAUGAGUGACUGCAUGGGGAACAAAGACCGUAUUCUGCAUCUUCAGACUGCAAGUCCAUCCGUGAAUUCAAGAGUGUGGCAGGCCGUAUGGCUUGAAGUAUAAAAGCACCAGGAGCAGAUGCAUAAGGAAUUUCCCUGUUGCAUCUCCAUCUAAAUUAUCAUCAAUGAUCUUUCAAAAGGAAUCGACCCCCCUCCUCCCCAAAGUAUUUUGAAGGAGAGAAGAAAGUAUCCGUCAGUGGUUUAGGACUAAAACAUCUAAGAGAACUUCUGGUGAAGGUGAAUUUGUGAAGGUAUCUCCAUUCUACCCACAACAACUGUUUGUCUUUUUUUCCUGGCUUCACGUUCCUAUUCCCUACAGCUUCACUGUGAUGGGUAAAUUGACAGCCUGACACAUAUCCUAGAUAAAAGAAACAACUAGCAAAGCCCUUCUUCUGGACCUGUAAUAUAGGGCCAGCUCUGCAAAUAAAUAACCUACUGACUGGUUCAGCAUGCUGAUGUGGAAAAGCUGAUCUCACUUGAAGAGUUCUUCGUGAGUUUCCCACAAACAAGUAAGCAGAGCAAAUAUAUCUGAGUAGCAGGUGCAGUACUUUGGAUCCAUUUGGACAGAUGUAUGUGAAGACAACCCAAGGCUGUCCUGUUUCCACAGUGGAGUGUUUAAAGCAGCUCUCCAUCACAAUAGCCAAAGAAGAGAAAAACAUCAUUUUGAUUCCUAUUUUUUCCCCCCAGUCCUGUUUGUAAUUCCUUCAGGGAUUAGCUGGAAUUUGACUCUGUCAGUCUUCUCUCUCUUUUUGCCUACUAAAAAAUAUUACCAUGUCAAGGAAUGCAGAAACCUUGCUCCCUUUGGCAUGAAAACUUUUGCAUAACCAAUGUGAUCUGUGCCAUUACACUUGAGCAGGAUUGUGCAUGUACAAUGCAAUAAAAAAAAAUUGAAAAGAAAUUUCAAUGACAAACCCCUUGGAAAAGAUUGCUUUGAUAUCCUGUCAUAUGUAUAAUUUCAGUAUUUUUUUUCUCCCCAGUGAUUUAAAUUAAUUUGAAUCAAAUCAUUAGGCCCCAGACUGGUACUGAACAUAAUGACUCAUCCCUAAAUUAAUAUUGUCUACCCUGAACUACUCCUGUCUAAAUCACUGAAAGACUCACGCUACUCACAAAGUCAGCUACAUUCAAAUGAGUUCUGCAACAGUUCAUUAGGUAAUGAUGUAAUUUAUGUGCCUGGGCCAGCAAAGGUUUUUUGCUCUGGCUUAAAAUGGACAAAGUAUGGGUA